GUCUGAGUGUCUCAGUGGGUUAAGCAUCUGACUUCAGCUCAGGUCAGGAUCUCACAGUUCGUGGGUUCGAGCCCCACUUUGGGCU
rnacentral:tRNA from 1 species